rnacentral:lncRNA from 1 species
UUUGACAAGAAUCACAAAUAGAGUCUUUUUCAAAUUUCAAGUUUGGAAGACCAAUAUCUAAAUUUUGUGAGACCAAUUUGUUCAAAAGAUGCAUGUUGAUGUGAGCUACUCUACGGUGCCAUAACCACGUAUCAUAUUCUUUGCUCAUAAGACAAUCUACAUAUUCAGAUGAAGAAUUUUCGAGAUCAACCAUAUAGAUAUUAUCCAUUCUAAAUCCACGAAGAAUAAUUUUAAAAUCGCUACGGCGAA